rnacentral:rRNA from 1 species
CACUUCUAAGGAAGGCAGCAGGCGCGCAAAUUACCCAAUCCUGACUCAGGGAGGUAGUGACAAGAAAUAACAAUAAACCGGCUUAUGCCGGUUUAAUUGGAAUGAGUACAAUUUAAACAUCUUAACGAGGAACAAUUGGAGGGCAAGUCUGGUGCCAGCAGCCGCGGUAAUUCCAGCUCCAAUAGCGUAUACUAAAGUUGUUGCAGUUAAAAAGCUCGUAGUUGGAUUUCUGUGGGGACGGAGCGGCCGGCCGCAACACGCGGUUCGAGCUAGCGCUUUCCCUACAUCCUGCCGCGAACCGUGCUACCAUUAGUUUGGUGGCGCCGGGGAUCGGCUCGAUUACUUUGAGAAAAAUGGAGUGUUCAAAGCAGGCCACACGCCUUGAAUAAGUUAGCAUGGAAUAAUAACUAAGGACUUCGGUUCUAUUUUGUUGGUGUUCGGGACUGAAGUAAUGAUUGAUAGGGACAGUUGGGGCGGUCUGUAUUCCAAAGCGAGAGGUGAAAUUCUUAGACCUUCGGAAGACAAACAGCUGCGAAAGCGUUCCGCAAGGAUGUUCCCUUUGAUCAAGAACGAAAGUUGGGGGAUCGAAGACGAUCAGAUACCGUCGUAGUCUCAACUAUAAACUAUACCAGCUAGGGAUCGGCCAACGUUAUUCUAUACCGACUUGGUCGGCACCUUAUGAGAAAUCAAAGCAUCUGGGUUCCGGGGGGAGUAUGGUCGCAAGGCUGAAACUUAAAGGAAUUGACGGAAGGGCACCACCAGCCGUGGAGCCUGUGGCUUAAUUUGACUCAACACGGGAAAACUUACCAGGUCCAGACAUAGUAAGGAUUGACAGAUUGAUAGCUCUUUCUUGAUUCUGUGGGUGGUGGUGCAUGGCCGUUCUUAGUUGGUGGAGUGAUUUGUCUGGUUAAUUCCGUUAACGAACGAGACCCCAGCCUGCUAAAUAGCGCGCGUGAGCUUUGCUCGCAGCGAGCUUCUUAGAGGGACUAUGAUGCGCGAUAGCACAUGGAAGUUUGGGGCAAUAACAGGUCUGUGAUGCCCUUAGAUGUUCUGGGCCGCACACGGGCUACACUGGCGCCUGCAACGAGCAUAUCAGCUGGCCCGAGAGGGUCUUGGCUAAUCUUUUGAACCGGCGCCGUGCUUGGGAUUGACCUUUGCAAUUGUUGGUCAUGCAACGAGGAAUGCCUUGUAAACGCGAGUCAUCAGCUCGCAUUGAAUACGUCCCUGCCCUUUGUACACACCGCCCGUCGCUCCUACCGAUGAAUGUUCCGAUGAAAUUUUCGGAGAGUGCCUGUGAACUUGGCUCUGCCUUGCGAACGGGAAGCUCAAAGUCACUUAAAUCUGAACAUUUCGAGG